rfam:Streptomyces griseoruber strain DSM 40281 genomic scaffold PRJNA299232_s018, whole genome shotgun sequence.
GCGAGACGGGUGGGCCGGUGGCCGGGCUCGACCGAUAAACUGUUCCCGGACGACGCCGGGCGCAGCUCCCGUCGCGUCCGCCAAUGAUCAGCCAGCAGCCGCUGCAACCCCAGGGAG